AUAUGUGUGUGUGUGUGUGUUUGCGUGCGCACGCGCAAUCACAGUCAAAACUAGACAGGAGUCCAGACAACUCAAAAUAGUAACCAUCACUUAUUGACCCACCCCAACAGCGUCUUAGGCAUUAUUAUAAAGUCCGUUUGCGUGCCGUGUGCAGUCCUGAAUCAUUGUACAUAUAAAGACAUUGUCACCGCCGAGAUACGCCUGAUCUCUAAUCGAUGCCGAUAUUCUAUCGGUAAUUUAUAUCAACUUCUGCACACGGCACCAACAGCUAGCGAAGCCGUCGCCGCAGGUGCACACGGCGUUAAUAGCUGUGACCUCGACGCCAGAGUUUAUCACUUUUAUCUGAGUAUCGAACAAGAUACGUUCGUUGUUGUUGUUGUUCCUGUUGCUACUGCCGGCGUUGUUGUCCAGGCUACACGCUUAACUGGGGUGUAGCAGGAGAAAGAGAAAGAAGAGAGCUACGUGUCCUUAUCGAUGUAGAACAAACAAUCAAGAACAUUCCGUCAAGACGUUAGAAAGGUAUCAAAUUCUAUAACCUAAUCAUAAACAGCUCGUAACUAUGUCCCACGAACUACGAGUAUUUGGUUCGAACAUAAGAAAUGGUGAUAACCAUAGACGACGUCUGAGGUUCCGGUGAGGUAAAAAGUCUAUUAAGCUACAAAUAUGAAGUCUUUCUGAAUGAAACUAAAUGCAAUACAAAUUCUGACAUUAAUAACUCCUAAUAUCAAUUCGAAACAAGAUAGGCAUUUCCUCCACCGCCCAGAAAUAAAACCUUGUUGCAAAUCCAAGAAAAGUUCUGAGCCUCAAAUUACGAGAUAAUUGAACCUGUUGACUGGUUCACGAAUUCCUUGCUUUAAAUCACCAGUGAACCUUCAAUCUAGACCACCUAAAUUACCCAUUAAAGCUAAGAUUCCCCACUAUUUAACUCCAAUGUCAAACAGUUUCAUUUUUCAAGAUUUCUUUUCCAAGGUAAAUAUGGUUCGCCUAUUUGAAUGUCCUGCAGCCUUCCUGGAACUUUAUCUUUCCAGUAGACUGUCUGAAGAGACAAGUUCUUUUCCCUUACAAUGCCACUUGUCAUUUGGACCACUGCUGGAAGUUCCUGUUUGGCCAUCUUUGAAUAAUUCAAUUGCACAUAAGUGUCUUUGUUGCCUAUAUAUCAAUAACUAUGACAAAGGUUUCAUUUUUAUGUCCUAGCAAGUGGCAAAAAAAACGGGAUACUAUUUUACCCUUAGACUGACAUGCCAUGAUCAUUGAGGCCUCAGAUUCAAUUACUGAUGUUUUAUUUUAUGCUACUUAUUUAGCAGUGUGUGAUCCUUUAACAGCAGUGCUGCUGAUGAUCAGCAUCAUAAAUUUUUCAGUCUUUAAACACUGCUUUAAUUUUGCUCAUUAAUGUUAUUGUUUAUGUACGUACAUCUUUCUGUUUGCAUAUGAGUUUAUUUUCCAAGUUAAUGGCCAAUAAAACAAUAAAGGCAGUAAAUUCCAGCCUUCUGUUACACCCUGAUAGUGAUACAACUAACCAGUUAGUAAGAGAUGUUCGGAGUUCAGCUACAGCGGAUGACUGCUCCUUAUUUGAAUUUGGUUUUUGACCUAACGCUCCUCUACUUACGAACGAGUUCCGUUCCGAACGACUAUUCGAACUCGUAAGUUCAUUUUGUUUGUAACUUCAAUUUGGUAUACGCUGAGUUUUUUCAUACUAUAACCCAAUACUAGUAUUGUUACUGUAUUUUA